UACGGGGGGAGCAAGCGUUGUUCGGAUUUACUGGGCGUAAAGGGCGCGUAGGCGGCCACUGCAAGUCAGUUGUGAAAUCUCCGGGCUUAACCCGGAAAGGUCAACUGAUACUGCAGGGCUAGAGUGCAGAAGGGGCAACUGGAAUUCUCGGUGUAGCGGUGAAAUGCGUAGAUAUCGAGAGGAACACCUGCGGCGAAGGCGGGUCUCUGGGCAACAACUGACGCUGAGGAGCGAAAGCGUGGGGAGCGAACAGG
rnacentral:rRNA from 1 species